GACGAACGCUGGCGGCGUGCCUAAUACAUGCAAGUUGAGCGAUGAAGAUUGGUGCUUGCACCAAUUUGAAGAGCAGCGAACGGGUGAGUAAGGCGUGGGGCAUCUGCUUUUUAGCGGGGGAGAAUAUUUGGGAAAGAAUGAUGCUACUGCAUAACAACUUCAACCAUAAGAUUUAAGUUUGAAAGAUGCCUUUGCCUCACUCAAAGAUGAUCCCGCGUUUAAUUAGCUAGGUGGUGAGGUAAAGGCCCACCCAGGGGAUGAUACAUAGCCGACGUGGGGAGGUGAUCGACCACAAUGGGACUGGGACACGGCCCAAAACCCUACGGGAGGCAGCAGUAGGGAAUCAUCGGCAAUUGACGGAAGGCUGACCGAGCAACGCCGCGGGAGUGAAGAAGGGUUUCGGAGCGUAAAACUCUGUUUGUAGGGAAGAACGUUGGUCAGAGUGGAAAGCUCAUCAAGUGACGGUAACUAACCAGAAAGCGACGGCUAGCUACGUG
rnacentral:rRNA from 1 species